UUUUUUCGAACUCUUACAAUG
rnacentral:piRNA from 1 species